CUGCAAAUGAGGUAGCUGAUACUUUAAUUGCCGGCACUGUCAAUGGAGAGAUCUAGAUCCCUUCAAGCUCUCAUUGAGUUUCAACUAUAUUUUUUUCUCUAUUAAUUCUACACAGUUUCUCUCAUGAUGAAUUCAUAAUAUUUUCUGGACAUUGUUCAUUCUCAUUACAAUAAGAAAUAAAUGAAAUGGCAUCAUUGAUAUACCUGCAUCUCUUCCUGGAUCGAUGAAUCCAGGCCAUUGCAGAUGGUAGGACUCCAAAGAGAAUGUUGCAUAUACUCCAGCAAAAUCUAGAGAGAGAAAGCUGCACGGAAGAAAGAAGCAAUCAAGAUGGGAAUGGCUUUCACUAAGAACUCCCAUUGCCUCCUCUUGAUUCAGUCCACUGGAGAGCAUCUGAGGCUCCCCUCCAGAAAUAAAAGCUUGCGCAAAAGUCCUGACCUUUUUGCUACCUCUGGUUCCCAUUUGGAAAAGUCACUACUUAGAGAACAUUCCAUCUGUUUCUUGUGAAACCUUUCUGCAAUCAACUUUACUGUAUCCACUAGCUGCUUUGGAAAC